UUUCUUUUAUUUCUUUUCUUUCUUUUAUUUUCUUUCUUUCUUUCUUCCUUUCUUCACUGCGCCUGCAUUUCUGGUGAGACAGAGCAACAGAGCCGCGCCACCCACGCCAUCGUGCGCCACCGGUGCUCCUCGCCGCAACUGGCCGCCGUAGCAGCUCCGCCAGCAGUCUCGCCUUACCCUCGGCCAGAUCGUGCAGCGCCAGCUCCUCCUCUAGCUCAUCGCGCCACCUGCUCGCAGUUCCAGUGAGCGCAGCAACUUAGUUUGGUCGACUCAACGCCAUUGCUCUCACUUGCUCUUAGUUCCGGCACGCGUAGCUCCCUUUUUCCAGUCGAACAAUUCCGGCAGCAAGAUUUUGGAGGUUUAUAAAAUUCUGAAAUGCGAGGACAAAGGCUGGAAGCACGUGGCUAGAAAGGCAGUCCCCUUAGAAGACAAUAAAGAUUUGUAAUAGAAGAAAGAAAAAUCCUAUGGAGUUGAGACAAUAAUUAUAGAAGAUUGUUAAUGAUAGAAAUGACGAUGUAAAUGUAAAUGUAGAGUUCCGCAAUUGUAUUCCAGUUGGGUUGUAAAUAAAUAAUAAAAGUCCAUAUUAAAUAUACGAACUGUAUUAGUGAUACAUAACUGAAAUAAAUUAUUGGGCUUGCAUCCA